GAUGAAGAACGCAGCGAAAUGCGAUAAGUAAUGUGAAUUGCAGAAUUCAGUGAAUCAUCGAAUCUUUGAACGCACCUUGCGCCCUUUGGCUAUUCCAAAGGGCAUGCCUGUUUGAGUAUCAUGAACACCUCAACUCUUGUGGUUUCCCACAAUGAGCUUGGACUGUGGAGGUUUUGUUGGCCCUGUGGUCAGCUCCUCUCAAAUGGAUCAGCUUACCGGUGUUUGGUGGCAUUACGGGUGUGAUAACUAUCUACGCUCGUGGUCGUCUCCAAAUAACCUCCAGUGAUGGAGGUUCGCUGGAGCUUAUAAAUGUCUCUCCCCAGUGAAGACAGCCUUUGAACGUUCGAUCUCAAAUCAGGUAGGACUACCCGCUGAACUUAAGCAUAUCAAUAAGCGGAGGA
rnacentral:misc_RNA from 1 species